rnacentral:ncRNA from 1 species
UUGAAGUUUUAUUUUGGCUUAAAAAUUUAUUAUUAAUUUAUUUUAUAUGUAAAUUUUUGUGAGAAUGGUUAUUUGUUUUAAUAACAAUUAAUUUUUAUAUAGUCGCAGUAAUUAGUAUUAUUAAUUAAAGAAAUUUAGAAAUAGAAAUAUUAAAUAGUAUUGGCUAAAUUUGUGCCAGCAGUCGCGGUUAUACAAAUAAUACAAAUAAAUUUAAUUAGUAGGAGUUAAAUUAAGUAAUUUAAAUUAAAAAUUAAAUUUAUAAGGUGAAAUUUUAAAUUUAUAUAAAAUUUGCAUUUAAAAAUUGAAGCUCAGAAAUUUUAGUAAUAAACUAGGAUUAGAUACCCUAUUAUUUAAAAUGUAUAAAAUUUACUAAGGUAGUAGUAGUUAUGUUCUUGAAACUUAAAAAAUUUGGCGGUAUUUUAGUCUAUUCAGAGGAACCUGUCCUGUAAUUGAUAAUCCACGUUGGACCUUACUUAAAUUUGUUUAUCAGUUUGUAUACCGUCGUUAUAAGAAUAUUUUAUUAGAAUAAUAAUUUUCUAGAAUUUUUAUAAAAAUUUAUAUCAGAUCAAGGUGCAGCUUAUGUUUAAGAAGAGAUGGGUUACAAUAAAUUUAUUUAUACGAAUUGGAUUUUGAAAUUAAUCUAUGAAGGAGGAUUUGAAUGUAAAAUUAUAAAGAUUAAUAAUUUGAUUUUAGCUCUAAAAUAUGUACACAUCGCCCGUCACUCUUAUUAUUAAGGUAAGAUAAGUCGUAACAUAGUAGAUGUACUGGAAAGUGUAUCUAGAAUGCA